GUGCUCACUUCAACAGCACAUAAACUAAAAUAGGAACAAUACAGAGAUCAGUGUAGCCCCUGCAAAAGGAUGAUGUGCAAAUUCGUGAAGCGUUCCAUAUUUUU